rfam:Clostridiales bacterium CHKCI001 isolate CHKC1 genome assembly, contig: {contig25}
ACUGUGGAGUGUACAAAAACUUGUGAGUAGUGUGUUGCCUGCAACCACCAAAACAUACACAGCGAAGCAGUAA